UAAAAUGUUAAAUUAAAUUCAAGAAAAAACAACGUUUUGUACGUCAAAAGCAGAGGAUGGUGAAAUGUUUUUGAAAAUAUAGAUACAUCAAGUUGAUUAGAGGCUUCUUGAUGCAAACCAUGCUUGGAGGCUUGGUCCGUAUCGUGUGUCUCCUUCCUUCCUAAUGACCGAGAGCUUGUUCCGAAUUUGUUUGUCCAAGUGACGAGUGUUGUAGGAGGAGUCGGCUUCUCUCCAUGCUUCCUCCCAUUACGCUCCCGCCAAAUCGAAUGAACUGUUAUUUGAAAGCUGUAUCGAAGUAGGCAUCCACUUUUUCCAUCAAUGCUACACUUUUUAGAUGCCGAUUAAGGCAUAGCACUUAGCCACUUAAUAAAGGAAUCAUGGAUUAUUCUACAUAUAGGUUUAUGCUAAGUAUAUGUCACACUUUUCAUUACCCCUUUUAACCUUUUGUCAUAUAGGGAA
rnacentral:lncRNA from 1 species